UACGAAGGGGGGCUAGCGUUGCUCGGAAUCACUGGGCGUAAAGCGCACGUAGGCGGGUCGUUAAGUCAGGGGUGAAAUCCUGGAGCUCAACUCCAGAACUGCCUUUGAUACUGGCGAUCUCGAGUUCGGGAGAGGUGAGUGGAACUGCGAGUGUAGAGGUGAAAUUCGUAGAUAUUCGCAAGAACACCAGUGGCGAAGGCGGCUCACUGGCCCGAUACUGACGCUGAGGUGCGAAAGCGUGGGGAGCAAACAGG
rnacentral:rRNA from 1 species